AACGAACGCUGGCGGCAGGCUUAACACAUGCAAGUCGAACGAUGUAGCAAUACAUAGUGGCGCACGGGUGAGUAACGCGUGGGAAUGUACCAUUUGGUGGGGAAUAACUUCGGGAAACUGAAGCUAAUACCGCAUACGCCCGAGAGGGGAAAGAUUUAUCGCCAAAUGAUCAGCCCGCGUGAGAUUAGGUAGUUGGUGGGGUAAUGGCCUACCAAGCCUACGAUCUCUAGCUGGUCUGAGAGGAUGAUCAGCCACACUGGAACUGAGACACGGUCCAGACUCCUACGGGAGGCAGCAGUGGGGGAAUAUUGGGCAAUGGAGGAAACUCUGACCCAGCCAUGCCGCGUGAAUGAUGAAGGCCUUAGGGUUGUAAAGUUCUUUCGCCGAUGAAGAUAAUGACGGUAGUCGGAGAAGAAGCCCCGGCUAACUUCGUGCCAGCAGCCGCGGUAAU
rnacentral:rRNA from 1 species